UACGGAGGAUGCAAGCGUUAUCCGGAAUGAUUGGGCGUAAAGCGUCCGCAGGUGGCUAUGUAAGUCUGCUGUUAAAGAGUGAGGCUCAACCUCAUAAGAGCAGUGGAAACUACAUGGCUAGAGUGCGUUCGGGGCAGAGGGAAUUCCUGGUGUAGCGGUGAAAUGCGUAGGUAUCAGGAGGAACACCGGUGGCGAAAGCGCGAGACUGGGCCAUAACUGACGCUGAGGAACGAAAGCCAGGGGAGCAAAAGGG
rnacentral:rRNA from 1 species